CCGGGGGCGACAGCAAUAUGAAGGUCAGGCUGAAGACCUUACCCGAUUAGCUGAGAGGUGGUGCAUGGCCGUCGUCAGUUCGUACUGUGAAGCAUCCUGUUAAGUCAGGCAACGAGCGAGACCCACGUCCACAGUUGCCAGCAUACCCUCCGGGGUGAUGGGUACACUGUGGAGACCGCCGCUGCUAAAGCGGAGGAAGGAGUGGGCAACGGUAGGUCAGUAUGCCCCGAAUCUCCCGGGCUACACGCGGGCUACAAUGGUUGGUACAAUGGGCAUCUACCCCGAAAGGGGAAGGAAAUCUCUUAAAGCCAAUCGUAGUUCGGAUUGAGGGCUGCGACUCGCCCUCAUGAAGCUGGAAUCCGUAGUAAUCGCGUUUCAACAGAACGCGGUGAAUACGUCCCUGCUCCUU
rnacentral:rRNA from 1 species